UACAGAGGGGGCAAGCGUUAUUCGGAAUUAUUGGGCGUAAAGAGCUCGUAGGCGGUGUGUCGCGUCGAUCGUGAAAACUUGGGGCUUAACCCUGAGCUUGCGGUCGAUACGGGCAUCACUUGAGUUCGGCAGGGGAGACUGGAAUUCCUGGUGUAGCGGUGAAAUGCGCAGAUAUCAGGAGGAACACCGGUGGCGAAGGCGGGUCUCUGGGCCGAUACUGACGCUGAGGAGCGAAAGCGUGGGGAGCAAACAGG
rnacentral:rRNA from 1 species